rnacentral:rRNA from 1 species
ACUCCUACGGGAGGCAGCAGUGGGGAAUUUUGGACAAUGGGCGCAAGCCUGAUCCAGCCAUGCCGCGUGUCUGAAGAAGGCCUUCGGGUUGUAAAGGACUUUUGUCAGGGAAGAAAAGGCUGUUGUUAAUACCGACAGCUGAUGACGGUACCUGAAGAAUAAGCACCGGCUAACUACGUGCCAGCAGCCGCGGUAAUACGUAGGGUGCGAGCGUUAAUCGGAAUUACUGGGCGUAAAGCGAGCGCAGACGGUUACUUAAGCAGGAUGUGAAAUCCCCGGGCUCAACCUGGGAACUGCGUUCUGAACUGGGUGACUAGAGUGUGUCAGAGGGAGGUAGAAUUCCACGUGUAGCAGUGAAAUGCGUAGAGAUGUGGAGGAAUACCGAUGGCGAAGGCAGCCUCCUGGGAUAACACUGACGUUCAUGCUCGAAAGCGUGGGUAGCAAACAGGAUUAGAUACCCUGGUAGUCCACGCCCUAAACGAUGUCAAUUAGCUGUUGGGCAACUUGAUUGCUUAGUAGCGUAGCUAACGCGUGAAAUUGACCGCCUGGGGAGUACGGUCGCAAGAUUAAAACUCAAAGGAAUUGACGGGGACCCGCACAAGCGGUGGAUGAUGUGGAUUAAUUCGAUGCAACGCGAAGAACCUUACCUGGUCUUGACAUGUACGGAAUCCUCCAGAGACGGGGGAGUGCCUUCGGGAGCCGUAACACAGGUGCUGCAUGGCUGUCGUCAGCUCGUGUCGUGAGAUGUUGGGUUAAGUCCCGCAACGAGCGCAACCCUUGUCAUUAGUUGCCAUCAUUAAGUUGGGCACUCUAAUGAGACUGCCGGUGACAAGCCGGAGGAAGGUGGGGAUGACGUCAAGUCCUCAUGGCCCUUAUGACCAGGGCUUCACACGUCAUACAAUGGUCGGUACAGAGGGUAGCCAAGCCGCGAGGCGGAGCCAAUCUCACAAAACCGAUCGUAGUCCGGAUUGCACUCUGCAACUCGAGUGCAUGAAGUCGGAAUCGCUAGUAAUCGCAGGUCAGCAUACUGCGGUGAAUACGUUCCCGGGUCUUGUACACACCGCCCGUCACACCAUGGGAGUGGGGGAUA